CCUUCGAUAGCUCAGUUGGUAGAGCGGUGGACUGUAGUGAAUCGUUACUAAUUGGCAGAUAUCCAUAGGUCGCUGGUUCAAAUCCGGCUCGAAGGA
rfam:Aedes albopictus isolate Foshan contig102186, whole genome shotgun sequence.